ACAGCAGUCGCCGCGGUAAUACGGAGGGUGCAAGCGUUAAUCGGAAUUACUGGGCGUAAAGCGCACGCAGGCGGUCUGACAAGUCAGAUGUGAAAUCCCCGGGCUUAACCUGGGAACUGCAUUUGAAACUGUCAGGCUGGAGUCUUGUAGAGGGGGGUAGAAUUCCAGGUGUAGCGGUGAAAUGCGUAGAGAUCUGGAGGAAUACCGGUGGCGAAGGCGGCCCCCUGGACAAAGACUGACGCUCAGGUGCGAAAGCGUGGGGAGCAAACAGGAUUAGAUACCCCGGUAGUCCCUGUCUCUUAUAC
rnacentral:rRNA from 1 species